rnacentral:rRNA from 1 species
AUUGGAGUCUGCAACUCGACUCCAUGAAGCCGGAGUCGCUAGUAAUCGCAGAUCAGCAUUGCUGCGGUGAAUACGUUCCCGGGCCUUGUACACACCGCCCGUCACACCAUGGGAGUGGGUUGCACCAGAAGUGGCUAGUCUAACCUUCGGGAGGACGGUCACCACGGUGUGAUUCAUGACUGGGGUGAAGUCGUAACAAGGUAGCCGUAGA